CGAGACCUCAGGUCAG
rnacentral:rRNA from 1 species